rnacentral:rRNA from 1 species
UACGUAGGGUGCGAGCGUUAAUCGGAAUUACUGGGCGUAAAGCGUGCGCAGGCGGUCGUGUAAGACAGGUGUGAAAUCCCCGGGCUCAACCUGGGAAUGGCGCUUGUGACUGCACGACUGGAGUGCGGCAGAGGGGGGUGGAAUUCCACGUGUAGCAGUGAAAUGCGCAGAGAUGUGGAGGAACACCGAUGGCGAAGGCAGCCCCCUGGGUCGACACUGACGCUCAGGCACGAAAGCGUGGGGAGCAAACAGG